GUAGGAACCUGCCUGAUAGUGGGGGAUAGCCCGGCGAAAGCCGGAUUAAUACCGCAUACGCUCUACGGAGGAAAGGGGGCUUCGGCUCCCGCUAUCAGAUGGGCCUGCGUAGGAUUAGCUAGUUGGUAGGGUAAAGGCCUACCAAGGCGACGAUCCUUAGCUGGUCUGAGAGGAUGAUCAGCCACACUGGGACUGAGACACGGCCCAGACUCCUACGGGAGGCAGCAGUGGGGAAUAUUGGACAAUGGGGGAAACCCUGAUCCAGCCAUGCCGCGUGUGUGAAGAAGGCCUUCGGGUUGUAAAGCACUUUCAGUGGGGAGGAAGGCUUGAUGGUUAAUACCCAUCAGGAUUGACGUUACCCACAGAAGAAGCACCGGCUAACUCCGUGCCAGCCGCCGCGGUAA
rnacentral:rRNA from 1 species